rnacentral:rRNA from 1 species
UGAGGAAUAUUGGGCAAUGGACGCAAGUCUGACCCAGCCAUGCCGCGUGCAGGAUGAAGGCGUUCUGCGUUGUAAACUGCUUUUAUCUGGGAAGAAACCUGAGUAUUCUUAUUCAGCCGACGGUACCAGAUGAAUAAGCACCGGCUAACUCCGUGCCAGCAGCCGCGGUAAUACGGAGGGUGCAAGCGUUAUCCGGAUUCACUGGGUUUAAAGGGUGUGUAGGCGGAUAUUUAAGUCAGUGGUGAAAUCUCCAGGCUCAACCUGGAAACUGCCAUUGAUACUAUUUAUCUUGAAUUCUGUUGAGGUGGGCGGAAUACAUCAUGUAGCGGUGAAAUGCUUAGAUAUGAUGUAGAACACCGAUUGCGAAGGCAGCUCACUAAACAGCGAUCGACGCUGAGGCACGAAAGCGUGGGGAUCAAA